AACGCAUAUUGCGCCCGCUAGCACUCUAGCGGGCAUGCCUGUCCGAGCGUCAUUUCGACCGUAUGAGCCUGUCGUCCUGGACACAGAGCUCUCUGUUGGGGUGCUACAGCGCGCGCCCAGUGCCGCGUAGGCCCCUAAAGACAGCGGCGGCGCCGUCGAGACCCCGAGCGCAGUAGCGUACACGCCCAGCGGCGUGCCUCGUUCAGGGCGUCCAGACGUGUGGCCAGCCGUGAAAACCCGCCGCCCCGGCGGCCAAACCCAAGGUUGACCUCGGAUCAGGUAGGAAUACCCGCUGAACUUAA
rnacentral:misc_RNA from 1 species